AUUGAACGCUGGCGGCAUGCCUUACACAUGCAAGUCGAACGGUAACAGGUCUUCGGAUGCUGACGAGUGGCGAACGGGUGAGUAAUAUAUCGGAACGUGCCCAGUCGUGGGGGAUAACGCAGCGAAAGCUGUGCUAAUACCGCAUACGAUCUAUGGAUGAAAGCGGGGGAGCGCAAGACCUCGCGCGAUUGGAGCGGCCGAUAUCAGAUUAGGUAGUUGGUGGGGUAAAGGCCCACCAAGCCAACGAUCUGUAGUUGGUCUGAGAGGACGACCAGCCAAACUGGAACUGAGACACGGUCCAGACUCCCACGGGAGGCAGCAGUGGGGAAUUUUGGACAAUGGGCGCAAGCCUGAUCCAGCAAUGCCGCGUGCAGGAUGAAGGCCUUCGGGUUGUAAACUGCUUUUGUACGGAACGAAAAGGCUCUGGUUAAUACCUGGGGCUCAUGGCGGUACCGUAAGAAUAAGCACCGGCUAACUACGUGCCAGCAGCCGCGGUAACAC
rnacentral:rRNA from 1 species